GAUCACCAUUUCCCAGUGUGUCCACAAUUUCAGCAUCCAUGCUUUUCUUAUUUACAAAGCAACGCACUAAGACAGCAAUACCAACUCCAGCUUCAAGUACAAGCCAAACAAGACUAAGGGCCAUUAGAGAAAUAAAAGUUACAUAAUUUUUGUACCCAACACAAUUGUUAAGCCACCGGCAAUGGUGAUCAAAACCAUCAACGCAUUUAUCACAACUUCGACAAUGUUUGCUGUAUUUGCGUACCUCAGCAUUGCACAAUGUACAAAACAAAGCAUCUUCACCAGUGCCCUGUUGUUCAGCUGCACCUUCCUGUUUGCGGCAAUCUUCAUGAACAAACAAUGCACAGAAGAUUCCUCCAAAGUUACAAGAAGAUUUUCU
rnacentral:misc_RNA from 1 species